AGAGUUUGAUCCUGGCUCAGGAUGAACGCUGACAGAAUGCUUAACACAUGCAAGUCGAUGGGGAAGUGGUGCUUGCACCAUGGUAACCAUGGCGGACGGGUGAGUAACGCGUAAGGAACUUGCCUGCGGGACCGGGAUAACAGCAGGAAACUGCUGACAAGACCGGAUAAGGUCAUUAAGCUGCAUAGCUUAGUGAUGAAAGGAGACGCCUGCGGAGAGCCUUGCGUCCUAUUAGCUAGUUGGAGGGGUAACGGCCCACCAAGGCGAAGAUAGGUAGCCGGCCUGAGAGGGUGGACGGCCACAAGGGGACUGAGAUACGGCCCUUACUCCUACGGGAGGCAGCAGUGGGGAAUAUUGGACAAUGGGGGCAACCCUGAUCCAGCAAUUCUGUGUGCACGAAGACGGUUUUCGGAUUGUAAAGUGCUUUCAGCAGGGAAGAAGAAAGUGACGGUACCUGCAGAAGAAGCGACGGCUAAAUACGUGCCAGCAGCCGCGGUAAUACGUAUGUCGCAAGCGUUAUCCGGAAUUAUUGGGCAUAAAGGGCAUCUAGGCGGCCAGAUAAGUCCGAGGUGAAAACUGCCGGCUCAACCAGCAGCUUGCCUUGGAAACUACCUGGCUAGAGUAUUGGAGAGGUGGACGGAACUACACGAGUAGAGGUGAAAUUCGUAGAUAUGUGUAGGAAUGCCGAUGAUGAAGAUAGUCCACUGGACAGCAACUGACGCUGAAGUGCGAAAGCUAGGGGAGCAAACAGGAUUAGAUACCCUGGUAGUCCUAGCUGUAAACGAUGAUUACUGGGUGUGGGCAUGAAGAGUGUCCGUGCCGAAGCUAAUGCGAUAAGUAAUCCGCCUGGGGAGUACGGCCGCAAGGCUGAAACUCAAAGGAAUUGACGGGGACCCGCACAAGCGGUGGAGCAUGUGGUUUAAUUCGACGCAACGCGAGGAACCUUACCAGAUCUUGACAUCCUGCGAAGGCCUGCGAGAGCAGGCUGUGCCUUAGGGAACGCGGAGACAGGUGGUGCAUGGCUGUCGACAGCUCGUGUCGUGAGAUGUUGGGUUAAGUCCCGCAACGAGCGCAACCCCUGUUGCUAGUUACCAUCAUUAAGUUGGGGACUCUAGCGAGACUGCCUGCGAAGAGCAGGAGGAAGGUGGGGAUGACGUCAAGUCAUCAUGCCC
rnacentral:rRNA from 1 species